GAUGAACGCUAGCUACAGGCUUAACACAUGCAAGUCGAGGGGAAACGAUGAGAGAGCUUGCUCUCUUAGUCGUCGACCGGCGCACGGGUGAGUAACGCGUAUCCAACCUGCCUCUGACCAAGGGAUAACCCGUCGAAAGUCGGACUAAUACCUUAUGCAGUCGUCGGAAGUCAUCUGAUGACGACGAAAGAUUUCAUCGGUGAGAGAUGGGGAUGCGUCUGAUUAGCUUGUUGGCGGGGUAACGGCCCACCAAGGCGACGAUCAGUAGGGGUUCUGAGAGGAAGGUCCCCCACAUUGGAACUGAGCCACGGUCCAAACUCCUACGGGAGGCAACCGUGAGGAAUAUUGGUCAAUGGGCGUAAGCCUGAACCAGCCAAGUAGCGUGCAGGAUAACGGCCCUAUGGGUUGUAAACUGCUUUUAUGCGGGGAUAAAGUGAGGGACGUGUCCUUCAUUGCAGGUACCGCAUGAAUAAGGACCGGCUAAUUCCGUG
rnacentral:rRNA from 1 species